CGUGAGCGAAGAAGGCCUUCGGGUCGUAAAGCUCUGUUGUUAGGGAAGAACAAGUAUCGGAGUAACUGCCGGUACCUUGACGGUACCUAACCAGAAAGCCACGGCUAACUACGUGCCAGCAGCCGCGGUAAUACGUAGGUGGCAAGCGUUGUCCGGAAUUAUUGGGCGUAAAGCGCGCGCAGGCGGUCCUUUAAGUCUGAUGUGAAAGCCCACGGCUCAACCGUGGAGGGUCAUUGGAAACUGGGGGACUUGAGUGCAGAAGAGGAGAGUGGAAUUCCACGUGUAGCGGUGAAAUGCGUAGAGAUGUGGAGGAACACCAGUGGCGAAGGCGACUCUCUGGUCUGUAACUGACGCUGAGGCGCGAAAGCGUGGGGAGCAAACAGGAUUAGAUACCCUGGUAGUCCACGCCGUAAACGAUGAGUGCUAAGUGUUAGAGGGUUUCCGCCCUUUAGUGCUGCAGCUAACGCAUUAAGCACUCCGCCUGGGGAGUACGGCCGCAAGGCUG
rnacentral:rRNA from 1 species